GUAGGUGGCAAGCGUUAUCCGGGAAUUAUUGGGGCGUAAAGCGCGCGCAGGCGGUUUCUUAAGUCUGAUGUGAAAGCCCACGGGCUCAACCGUGGAGGGUCAUUGGGAACUGGGGAACUUGAGUGCAGAAGAGAAAAGCGGAAUUCCACGUGUAGCGGUGAAAUGCGUAGAGAUGUGGAGGAACACCAGUGGCGAAGGCGGCUUUUUGGUCUGUAACUGACGCUGAGGCGCGAAAGCGUGGGGAGCAAACAGGAUUAGAUACCCUGGUAGUCCACGCCGUAAACGAUGAGUGCUAAGUGUUAGAGGGUUUCCGCCCUUUAGUGCUGCAGCUAACGCAUUAAGCACUCCGCCUGGGGAGUACGGUCGCAAAGACUG
rnacentral:rRNA from 1 species